GCUUAACAUUAUUCACACAGGUUACUGAAGAUGUGUUAAUCUUUUUUCAGUCUUUUACUAUCUGUUCUUUAGCUUGUAUACUUUUUAUUGCUCUGUCUUCAAGUUAACUAAUUCUUUCUGUGCUGUGUCUCAUUUGUUAAUAAUUCAUCCAGUGACUUUUAAGUUUCUGGUAUAGUUUUUAAGUGUUAGAAUUUCUAUAUUUUAAGGGUCUCAAUUUCUCUUCUGAGAUUUCCCAUUCAUCCUUUUGUUUUAAUUAUGACUACCCCCCACUUUAAAGUUAUUCAAUGUAUUUUGUCAUUUUUUCUGCUAAAUUAAAAAAAAAAAAACUAAGUAAUCCCAGGGUCUAUUUCAAUAGAUUUUUUUUCCUCUUGACUAUGCAUCCCAGUUUUCUGGGUUUUAAAUAUGUGUCUUAUAAUUUUAAUGAACACAGUAGAUGAUACUUUACAGAGAUAAUAUGUUCUGUUAUGCUCCUCUGUAGAAUUAUUUUUGUUAUAGAAGGUUGAUUAUCUUGAACUUGUGGUAUUCUUAUCUUACUUUUAUAAGAAUGUCUUGUUUUGUUCGCAGAAAAAUCUCUCAGUUCUGGAUCAUAGCAUUUACUUCUGAGGUAUGGCUGUUUUUGAGUUUCAGUGGAAGACUCUGACGUUUCAAAUACCAAGGCUCUUUACGUUGUUGGGACCCAAUUUGUUCUCCUCUACGGUCACUAAAAAUAUAAUGGCUCUACAAUUAACUACAAGGAAGUAUGUUGCAAGGUAGUCCAAGUGCACACACUGCAAGGCAGAGAUACAAACAUCACAUCCAGCAAGCAAAUAAGAGUGUAUCUGUGCCUGAAACAAGGAUACUAAGGUCAUCCACAACAGUGGUGUCUAAUGGGGGAAGCAGAAGAGUCAGUGUUACUGAGAUAAGAUGUGAGAGAGAUUCAGUCGUUACUGGAUUUGAAGAUGGAAGGAGGAAAUAAGUCAAAAGAAUGGGAACAUUAUCUAGAAGCUGAUACGGCAAGAAAAUUGAUUCUUUUUUAUGGCCUGCAGAAAAUAACACUAUCUUGGUGACACCUUGAUUUUAGCCCAGUGAGACCUGUUUUGCCUUGACUUCCAUGAUUGUCGGAAAGAAGCCAGCUACAUUGUCAUGAAGACACUCAAGCUGACCUAUGAAGAGGUCCAUGUGUUAAGAAACUGCGGCCUGCCACCAACAGCCAUGUGAGUGAGCCAUCAUGGAAAUGGAUUUUACAGCUCAAUUCAAGCUUUCAGAUGGUGGCAACCUGGGCUGACAUCUUGAGCACAGCCUCUUGAAAAAUCUCUGAGCCAAAACCAACCAUUUAAGCAGCUCCUGAAUUUCAGACCCACAGAUAUGCUGACAUAAAUGUUUAUUGUAUUAACCCAUGAUUUUUCUUUUUAAUCACACAGUACUAGCCUAUUUUGGCAAAUCUUUUUCAAGAGACUCUUCAUUUUUUUCUUUUCUUUUUUUUAUUUUUUUGAGACAGAGUCUCGCUCUGUUGCCCAGGCUGGAGUGCCGUGGCUUAAUCUCAGCUCACUGCAACCUCCACCUCCCAGAUUCAAGCAAUUCUCCUGUCUCAGCCUCCUGAGUAGCUGGGAUUACAGGCGUGCACCACCAUACCCAGCUAAUUUUUGUAUUUUGUAUUUUUAGUAGAGACAGGGUUUUACCAUGUUGGUCAGGCUGGUCUCAAACUCCUGGCCUCAUGAUCCACCCACGUCAGCCUCCCAAAGUGCUGGGAUUACAGGUGUGAGCCACUGUGCCCUGCCUUUUUUUCUUUUAAUUGUCAUUUUAUAGCUCUCCACCGCAGCUUCCCCACACCCUUCCCUUCCAUGAUGAUGUUUACAGGCUUUGGGGGGACCACGGAACAAAGCUGGGGCCUGGCAGCCCCACUAGGUUGCCAGCUGGGGAGAACAAGGCACAAUUACAAAUUAUCACAACAAUUAGCACCUGUACUUGGGGGAUCUGCAAAUUGAGGAGGCCCCAGCUCCUCAUGGUACAGGGGUCUAUCUGGCAGUGAACUUACUCUGGAGACAAUGGUAUUCCUUCAGUCUGAGGGAGUUGAUGUUGAUGAACCCGGUGUCAUCAAUCGGC
rnacentral:lncRNA from 10 species